rnacentral:tRNA from 1 species
GAAGAAUUAGUUAACUAAUAACAUUAGAAUGUCAAACUAAAGUAAUCAACUUAAAUGAUAUUUUUCC